rnacentral:rRNA from 1 species
GGCAGGCCUAACACAUGCAAGUCGGACGAGAAGGUACCUUCGGGUACUGGAGAGUGGCGCACGGGUGAGUAACGCGUGGGGACCUACCUCUUAGUGGGGGAUAACGGUUGGAAACGACCGCUAAUACCGCAUACGCCCUUCGGGGGAAAGAUUUAUCGCUAUAAGAUGAGCCCGCGCUGGAUUAGGUAGUUGGUAGGGUAAGAGCCUACCAAGCCAAUGAUCCAUAGCUGGUUUGAGAGGA